rnacentral:rRNA from 1 species
AACGAACGCUGGCGGCAUGCCUAACACAUGCAAGUCGAACGAUACCUUCGGGUCUAUUUUCGCACGGGUGCGUAACGCGUGGGAACCUGCCCUUAGGUUCGGAAUAACUCCCCGAAAGGGGUGCUAAUACCGGAUAAUGUCUUCGGACCAACGAUUUAUCGCCUUUGGAUGGGCCCGCGUUGGAUUAGCUAGUUGGUAGGGUAAAAGCCUACCAAGGCGACGAUCCAUAGCUGGUCUGAGAGGAUGAUCAGCAACACUGGGACUGAGACACGGCCCAGACUCGUCGGGCAGGAGGCAGUGGGGAAAAGUGGAAAAGCGGCGAAAGCCAUAUCCAGCACUGCUGGGUGAGUGAUGAAGGCCUUAGGGGUAUACAGCCCUUUUACCCGGGAUGAUAGUGACAGUCCCGCGAGAAUAGGCCCCGUAAAUACCUG